rnacentral:rRNA from 1 species
GACGAACGCUGGCGGCGUGCUUAACACAUGCAAGUCGAACGAUGAAGCCGGAGCUUGCUCUGGUGAAUUAGUGGCGAACGGGUGAGUAACACGUGAGUAACCUGCCCUUGACUCUGGGAUAACUGCGGGAAACUGUAGCUAAUACCGGAUACGACCCUCGGAGGCAUCUCUUGGGGGUGGAAAGAAUUUCGGUCAAGGCCGGACUCGAGGCCUAUCAGCUAGUUGGUGAGGUAAAGGCUCACCAAGGCGAAGACGGGUAGCCGGCCUGAGAGGGUGACCGGCCACACGGGGACAGAGACACGACCCAUGAUCCGACGGGAUGCAUCAGUGGAGAAUAUUGCACAAUGGGCGCAAGCCUGCUGCAGCAACGCCGCGUGAGGGAUGACGGCCUUCGGGUUGUAAACCUCUUUUAGCAGGGAAGAAGCGAAAGUGACGGUACCUGCAGAAAAAGCACCGGCUAACUACGUGCCAGCCGCCGCAGUAA